AACGAACGCUGGCGGCAGGCCUAACACAUGCAAGUCGAGCGGACAUCUUCGGAUGUUAGCGGCGGACGGGUGAGCAACGCGUGGGAACGUGCCCUUUGCUUCGGAAUAGCCUCGGGAAACUGGGAGUAAUACCGGAUGUACCCUUUGGGGGAAAGAUUUAUCGGCAAAGGAUCGGCCCGCGUUGGAUUAGGUAGUUGGUGGGGUAAUGGCCUACCAAGCCGACGAUCCAUAGCUGGUUUGAGAGGAUGAUCAGCCACACUGGGACUGAGACACGGCCCAGACUCCUACGGGAGGCAGCAGUGGGGAAUCUUAGACAAUGGGGGAAACCCUGAUCUAGCCAUGCCGCGUGAGCGAUGAAGGCCUUAGGGUUGUAAAGCUCUUUCACCGGGGAAGAUAAUGACGGUACCCGGAGAAGAAGCCCCGGCUAACUCCGUG
rnacentral:rRNA from 1 species